AGUUUCUGCUGGUUUUUGAGGUGUUCUUGGCAUAAGUAUUUCAUUGAAGUCAUUGAUUGGCUAAGUAAUCCACACACCUUGUUCUCAAGGUGUUAAUUGGCAGUUGAUUGAAAGGAAAUCACAAAAACCAGCCGACACUGCGGCCCCCUUGGGAUUCAUUUUGACACGCCAUGAGCUAGAGAUCUUGUUGAGCUGCUAAUUAGUAGAAUCAGGUGUACCAAAUUAGGGUUGAAAUGAAAACCUACAGGAUAGUAAGUCUCCAGGAGCAGCCAUGGGCAAAGGAGUUUGUAAAGACAACACUACCACAAAAGGCAACAGUAAUGGGAAACUGAGGAAGCUAAAAGGUCAGCAGUCAGGGGCAUCAGUCACUGCUUACCGCAUUGUCCCCCAUUACCAGAGCCUGAUGCCCGCCCUGCACAUAGCUGUACCUUAAGACAGGGCAUAUACCCAGAAUCCCGUGGGGAGGGGGCUGUUUGGGGCGACGUGCUGGACUGAGGGAGAUAGGAUUGUGUUGCGCUUUUUCGGGUGCGGGCGGGCGGGCAUGCAGCUCCCGCCUGCUGCGUCUCACCCGCUCCAGUCACUCAUUAGCGCCGAGGAUGGAGUGCCCCCGAUGAGAAUGCGACACUAAUCAAUCUCCUCUUUCAAACGUGCUGGUACCCUUUCUGAGGACCAGAGAGCUGUACCUGAAGGGCCAGCAGCUCCUGAACAGCACACCAAAGGGCCUGAGAGAGAGAGAGAGAGAGAGAGAGAGAGAGAGAGAGAGAGAGAGAAAUGGAGAUAUGUGGGGCUUGAAAGCUGGGAGAAGUCUUUUGGCACUGGAGCACUGAGAGGAAAUUUUGGGGAUUCAGAGGCUGCGCCCCUCCCUGGAUGUCCCUCUAUUCCCUUCCCACAGCCUAGCCAUGUCUGCAUGCGAGCAGAUACCCUUAAAGUGACAGGGCCAGCUAUUCUGGGCAUCCCCUGCAGGCGUAGACUGCUGGCUGUAUUUCUGCGGAUGCGCCAUGUUUGGGUUGAAAAAGGACUGGGCCUUCACUGGGGGAGCACUGAGGACAACAAACACUCGAUGACAACUAACCCCCCAUUGCUCCCCUGUGCCUCCACCCCCUAUUAUCAAAAAACCCAGUUUCCUCACAUCCCAUUUACACCACAAUUAUGUAUUUGCCAAGAAUAAUCAAAAUGAGCCAAAAUGAAAAAAAUAACAAAAAUGUUAAAAUGCAGGGAUGUCCCCCUGAGGCACCUGGUUUCACUUCUGAAAAUUAGCAAAGGAAAUGAAAUAAUGAAAUUCAUACAUUUAAAAUGAGGGAGGACAGCGGGAUGGAGAAGUGCCAACCUGUCAUAACCAGGAGCUGUCAGGAGCCGUGGAUCUGUUCUUGCUCUACCACUGCACGAUUCAGAAAUUUUCCAUAUAAAUAAUGGGAAAAGGGGAAUGUAUAUGAACUCUGAAAAGCUCCCAGAGCUACAUGCUGUAGAUUUGAUACAUUUAUUUGUGUCUCGCAGAGCGUGCAUUAUUUAAUGUAGUCAUGCCUGAUUUUUUUUCUGAAGAAGUAAAGGUUUGAGGGCGCAAAAACUAGCUCACACGCAUGCACACUCAUACGCACACACAGAAGGAUGGUGGCUCGGCUAGUGUUGUGGCAAAUGCACAGGUUUUGUGUUUACGGGUGUUUGAAAGAGACAAGUAGCCAUGAGUUUCAGCAGAACAGAGUCUAAUUCCCCGCCAGCUCAACACAGCACAGGAGACCAAAAGGGACAGACUGAAAGGAGAAUAAGCUUAGGCAGAAGUAGGACAGGAUGGCAACAGGAGAUAUGGUUGUGACAGUGUGUAUUUACAGCACCGUACUGUAUGUAAAAAGCAUUUGAUUGGGAAGGGACUUUAUGCUUUGAUCCAUAAAGAUUUUCAGGUUUAGAUCUCCUCUGGAUUUACUAGAAGUUUCAUUAUCAGAAUUUAUGCUCCAAAGGGAGUAGUAUGAAUAGUUUUUAAAUCUUUACAAUGAUUUUACUCUGAGGACUUCAUAUCCGAACCCAUAUCUGAGGAUUCUGCAACCUAAAUCUUUUUUUUUUUAAUGGAUAAAAAUAGCCUAUAUCUACAGAACGUGCACUAUAUGACACUAAAAGGAUCUGGACACCCCUUGGUCUGGGGGUGUUUUUCAUGGUUUGGGCUAGGCCCCUUAGUUCUGGUGGAGGCUAAACUUAAUGCUACAUCAUACAAUCACACCUAGACAGUUCUGUGCUUCCCCAAUGGUUUGGGGUAGACCCUUUCCUGUUUCAGCAUGACAGUGCCCCUGUACACACAGCAAGGUCCAUAUAGCAAUUGUCUUUUCGAGAACGGUGUGGAAGAACUUGACUGACCUGCACCAAACCCAAACCUCAACCCCAUCCAACACCUUUGGGAUCAAUUUGAAAGCCAACUACAAGCCAGGCCUAAUUUCCCUAUCAGUACCUGAUCUCACUAAUGCUCUUUUGGCUGAAUGUGCAAUAUAUAUAUACUUGUGGCUAGUAUAAAGCCUUGGCAAAAGAGUAGGGAUUUUU